rnacentral:tRNA from 1 species
GCCGGCAUAGCUCAGAGGCAGAGCAGGGCGCUUUUAACGCUCAGGUCGGGAUUUCAAAAUUCCCUGCCGGCA